UACGUAGGGUGCAAGCGUUGUCCGGAAUUAUUGGGCGUAAAGAGCUCGUAGGCGGUUUGUUGCGUCGGCUGUGAAAUCCUAGGGCUUAACCCUGGCCUGCAGUGGAUACGGGCAGACUAGAGGUAGGUAGGGGAGAAUGGAAUUCCCGGUGUAGCGGUGAAAUGCGCAGAUAUCGGGAGGAACACCGGUGGCGAAGGCGGUUCUCUGGGCCUUACCUGACACUGAGGAGCGAAAGCGUGGGGAGCGAACAGG
rnacentral:rRNA from 1 species